UGUAUCUAUAGUAGGAUAGGGAUCGAUUUGAAUGAAUCGUACAAAGGAUAUGGAAGGGAUAAAUAUAGGAAGGAAAGUAAUAGACGAAAAAGGAAUUUCCAAGAAUCAGAAAGAUGGAAAAGGGAGCGAGGAAGUAAGCGCGGCAUGGUAAGAAGAGGAACACGAGUGGCUUCGAUAUAAAGUCGCCCAGGAGGACAGAAAUACAAUCCCUAGAAGAGAGCUUCUCUUUGGUCGUAGGUAUAUUGGAGAGCUCGGAAUAGGCAAGGUAUCCAACUAGUAACCCACACUUUAGUAUUCUCGCGGUGUCGUUCCGUGGUGGUGUUGUCCCGUGGUGUGCCGUACCGCGGUGUGUCGUACGAGGAGACUUCCUCAUUCCAGAAUCGAGCUAUUGUGAAGUCUCCUCCCACCCCAGCUCACCCCUACCUCAUCAUAUGCCCACCUUCCACUUCUUACUCUUCUCUUACUUCGCGAGGCCCAACCGCAUUACUCGAACGAUGCUUAUUUACUUACUUGGUUCGUUCCUUUCGCGGAAAACCAUACUCUUCCCAAAGCAAUUUUCUUUACUCCCAACGUGUAUUCUCUAUCCCUUGUGUAUCUUAUGGUUUAAAUCCGAGACCUCCAUUAUUCUUGGUGCGACUUCACGCAGCUUUUCGGAGAAACGAACGUUUGAAAUUACCACAGGAGUGUUUCUAACUUUUUGCCAUAUCCUAUGAUUUUGCUCGGUCUUAUCGGAUAUAAGUAUUAAAGAUCGUAGAACCUCGCCUUGGACUAUCUCCAGCAAUAGCGAACAUUCCUAACGUUUGACGUUGCUUCUAAUAGUAAACACAGAACCUGGCAAAGUUUGAUAGAGAAAGAGAGAGAGAGAGAGAGAGAGAGAGAGAGAGAGAGAGAGAAAGAAAGAGAGA